rnacentral:rRNA from 1 species
UACGUAGGGUGCGAGCGUUAAUCGGAAUUACUGGGCGUAAAGCGUGCGCAGGCGGUUUUGUAAGCCAGAUGUGAAAGCCCCGGGCUCAACCUGGGAAUGGCAUUUGGGACUGCAAGGCUUGAGUGCGGCAGAGGAGACUGGAAUUCCUGGUGUAGCAGUGAAAUGCGUAGAGAUGUGGAGGAACACCGAUGGCGAAGGCAGCCCCCUGGGCUAACACUGACGCUCAUGCACGAAAGCGUGGGGAGCAAACAGG